AGAGAGAGAGAAAGAAAAAUACUCCUUUGUUAAACAAAGUUGCUAGAAUUUGCAAACAAUAUCACAAACCUUAUUUGGUGCCUGGUAGCCAUUAGGCUGCGUCUCCCUACAAGACUGAAGUAAGAUAUCAAGAACCUUAGCCAAGAGAAACCAAAAGUUUCUUUGCAUUUUUUCUGCAUCUAAGAAACAAGGAGCACUUUAUAAAGAGGGCUGAGCAGUAAUACUGACAUUAGGUAGUUAUGAUUCUUAAUACUGCUUGCACAGGCUUCUUCUGGCAUGUACAUUUGCCACAUAAUACUUUGUUAAUGUGUUCUUCCACAAACUGAAAUUCAUUUAGGACAUCUCUGCACAGAACUGCUUUUGUCCUGCUUCAGCUUUAAUACUGCUGUUUUCCCCCUUCUCCCAUCCCUUAAGAGGGAAACAUCUUCACAGCACACUUGGACUUGGUGAGGUGCUUCUUCACAACUUAAGACAUUUGGCUUCAUAAAGAAUGUGGAAGAGUAAUUUCAACUCUAUGACAGACACCUAACUAAGCUCUCUUAAAGGACAGUCAGAAGAAAACCUAUUGAGAACUUGGAUCCCUCAUCUUAUAUGACAAGGCAGCUAUUCUAAAAACUCUCCUGGCUUGAAAAUGGGCCUCUCCUUGAAGAUGGUAUUUCAAAUGUUACAAGGGUGUGGAAGGCAGAGAGCCAUGGGGAAUCAGAAGACAUUUGCUGAACAAACCCUCUUCUUCAAAGCUGUUGAACUUCUCCACCAGACAAGAAAAAACAGCUGGAGCUAGAGUAAGGUAACCAAGACAGCUGAUAAAGUAAUAGGAAAACUUUUUUUUUUUUUUUG